GGCCCAUAGAUAAGUUACCCAGUAUGCUUGCUGUUAAUAUAAAUCUUUUUGUUACUGUAGUUUCACUACUAUGUUGUUGAACAGAGCCAAAAGAAGUCUAAAGCAGCACCAAAAUGCAGGGCAUGUGAACAACCCAUGAAAGGACACAAGUUUGUUACAGACUGUCCAAGGAAUGAAAGGAGCACAUCAUAGUGUAUUAUAUGGAUAAGGCAUUUGAGGAGGGAGGGCAUAUUGGGAGGUGUUUUUUUUUUCAGAAGGGCAUAUUAGUAUUAUUCAGGAUGUUGGGGAUUUAUAAUAGAGAUUGGGGCUUAUAUUACACCAGGAAGGGUCUUAACAGAGGGGAAAUAUUUGGAAGGGUGGUGCUUAUUAGGGAUGGAGC